GUUGCAGCUGCCUGGCCAGCCCGAGAGACAGCGGAGAUUCAUUACCCGCCGACACAAUGACCAUUGAUGGCCCCGUGGCGUUAUUCAAAUCCAGUACCAAUUGCAGCCGAGCCCCUUUCUCCGCGCCAGGCCCGUAUUGUUGGAGCGGCCCACUAAAAGCCCGCCCCGGCCCCGAGCCGCCAGAGGCGCCUGCUCGGGUUCAGCCUUGCGCCUCGGCAGCCCGCCGGCUCCCAGUCCGGCUCCACGGGCGCUGCAGGUGACCCGGCGGCGCAUUCCAGCACUCCCCGCCGCCCGGGCCACCGCCGCCACCGCCACCGCAGGCGCCCCGGCCGCGACUCAGCCACAGGAAAGCGGAGAGCGCCCGAGCCGGUGCGUGCGCGGGGCUGGGCGGGGGCGGGGGACCCACGAAUCCAGCAGCCCGGACCCCGGGCUCGGAAACGCGACCCGGCCUGGGGCUCCUGCCUUCCGGAUUCCCGGAGAUCCCAGGCUGGGGGCAGGGAGAGGGGAGUCGGGGUUCCCCAGGCCAGACAGAGGAGAUUCCCCCUCGACCUGGGGCGGCGCUGAGACCCAACGCGGGCCACUCUGCGGACUCCGGGCCGCGAUCGAAGGAGCCACGCCAGGGGCGAUGGGGAUCCCCGCACAGGGUCAGGAUCCGCGUGCUUGCUAGUCCACCUUACCGCCGGAUGGGCAGCCGCUGCUGAGCGCCUGCUAGGUGGUCCGACGCGCAGCUCCGAGCUGUCCUGGACUGGCGCUUUUUAGGAGCGAAGGGGAACCCCGCAGGAGACCAGGGCCCUGAACUCAGGGGCUUCGCCACUGAUUGUCCAAACGCAAUUCUUGUACGAGUCUGCGGCCAACCGAGAAUUGUGGCUGGACAUCUGUGGCUGAGCUCCGGGCGCAACAGGGGCGGGGGCCCCAGGGACAGGGCUCAGCGCGGGCGAGACCUCUCGGGGCGGCGGCUGGCUGGCCCCAGCGCGAGGAUCGCGGUCCCGGCCCGCGCGCACAGAGACGCCGGUCCCUGCCACCAGCGCCGCCAUCCGCAUCCUCGUCCUUCUUCCUUCUCUGCGGGUGACCAGUCCCGGCCGGCAGGGUCCUUCAGUCGAUCGCGUCGUUUUUCCUCCUUUCAAAUUUCGGCCGGAACGAAGCCGGCACGCAGCGGCGGGGCCGAAUGUGGUCCGCCCUCAGCCCAAGCCGCAUGAAGUCGGGGGUGAAAGAAGAGGCCGGCCGAAUGCGCCCGCUAACUCGUUUCGCAGUUGUUCUAACUUAUCACCCCAAUACUCCCUACCUAAACAAAACAAAUCCUCAACCAACCCCUAAAUCCCAAACAAACCAACCCCUCCCGCAAGCCCCUCCGGACGGACCGAUGGGCUGAGCCUCCUCCAGCCGCUGCCAGGGUCCGACGGGCAAGCGUCACCAACGAUGCGCUCCAGCCCGGCAAUCUCCUCGGCUUUGGAAAUAGAAUUUGGAAAAACGAAUCCUUUUCAUUAAAGAAAAAUCUUCGG
rnacentral:lncRNA from 1 species